UAGGGAAUCUUCCACAAUGGACGCAAGUCUGAUGGAGCAACGCCGCGUGAGUGAAGAAGGUUUUCGGAUCGUAAAGCUCUGUUGUUGGUGAAGAAGGAUAGAGGUAGUAACUGGCCUUUAUUUGACGGUAAUCAACCAGAAAGUCACGGCUAACUACGUGCCAGCAGCCGCGGUAAUACGUAGGUGGCAAGCGUUGUCCGGAUUUAUUGGGCGUAAAGCGAGCGCAGGCGGAAGAAUAAGUCUGAUGUGAAAGCCCUCGGCUUAACCGAGGAACUGCAUCGGAAACUGUUUUUCUUGAGUGCAGAAGAGGAGAGUGGAAUUCCAUGUGUAGCGGUGGAAUGCGUAGAUAUAUGGAAGAACACCAGUGGCGAAGGUGACUCUCUGGUCUGCAACUGACGCUGAGGCUCGAAAGCAUGGGUAGCGAACAGG
rnacentral:rRNA from 1 species